UACGGAAGGCAGCAGUGGGGAAUAUUGCACAAUGGGCGCAAGCCUGAUGCAGCCAUGCCGCGUGUAUGAAAAGGCCUUCGGGUUGUAAAGUACUUUCAGUCGUGAGGAAGGUGUUAAGGUUAAUAACCUUAGCAAUUGACGUUAGCGACAGAAGAAGCACCGGCUAACUCCGUGCCAGCAGCCGCGGUAAUACGGAGGGUGCGAGCGUUAAUCGGAAUUACUGGGCGUAAAGGGCACGCAGGCGGUUAAUUAAGUUGGAUGUGAAAUCCCCGGGCUUAACCUGGGAAUGGCAUUCAAGACUGGUUUAGCUAGAGUCUUGUAGAGGGGGUAGAAUUCCAUGUGUAGCGGUGAAAUGCGUAGAGAUGUGGAGGAAUACCGGUGGGCGAAGGCGGGCCCCUGGGACAAAGACUGACGCUCAUGUGCGAAAGCGUGGGGAGCAAACAGGGAUUAGAUACC
rnacentral:rRNA from 1 species